GGCAUCGAUGAAGAACGCAGCGAAAUGCGAUACUUGGUGUGAAUUGCAGAAUCCCGUGAACCAUCGAGUUUUUGAACGCAAGUUGCGCCCAAAGCCUUCGGGUCGAGGGCACGUCUGCCUGGGUGUCACGCAUCGUCGUUCCCUCACUCCC
rnacentral:rRNA from 1 species